rnacentral:lncRNA from 1 species
UUUGCAUGCAAUUAGUCCAAUGUUUAGAUGUCCCAAGUGUCUGUCUUCUUUCCGGAUUAAACACUUCUCUUCCUUCACUUGUUUCCACAUGACCUGGAUCCUACCUGCUCACUCUUCCUAGGAUGAGUCCCUUUCGCUCAUAGAAUGUGGGUGGAAAACUACACAAGUCUUCAGUCCAACCCCCAGCACCCCAGGGGAGUACUGGUACUCAUGCUCUGGAUACCCUGUGCCUCCAGACUCCAUCACACUCCAGCCUUGAGGAGUGUGGGCAGCCACAGCCCACCAUGCUCUUAGACCCAGUUUGCACUCAGUACUUAGAAGACUGGCACUGAAGAGACCAAUCAUCUCCAACAAAUCUCUAUGAUCACAACAUAAAAUGUAGUUCCUGGAGUUGCUGCCAGGCAUAGUGACGCUUGUGAACUGGGAGGUGUGAAGAUCCACAUGGAGCUUCCAAGAAAGCUGAGGGUCACAGAAGUGAAGUCAUUUGCCUGUGUUGACAAAGCUGGUCAUGACAGAGUUUGGAUGGGAAUGCAGAGCUUCUUGAUUCAAAAGCCCAUGCUUUGUCUACUGCUUCAGACUUUAGACCAGUGCUGUCCAAUAGAAAUAGAAGGCAAGCCACAAAUAUGAAGCAAAUGUGUCACGUCGUAUUUUCUCAUAGCCACAUUGAAAAAGAGAAAACCAGAUAA